AUUGAACGCUGGCGGAACGCUUUACACAUGCAAGUCGAGCGGCAGCGCGGUCUUCGGACUGGCGGCGAGCGGCGAACGGGUGAGUAAUACAUCGGAACAUGCCCAGUCGUGGGGGAUAACACUUCGAAAGAAGUGCUAAUACCGCAUACGUCCUGAGGGAGAAAGCGGGGGAUCGCAAGACCUCGCGCGAUUGGAGUGGCCGAUGUCAGAUUAGCUAGUUGGUGGGGUAAAGGCCUACCAAGGCAACGAUCUGUAGCUGGUCUGAGAGGAUGCUCAGCCACACUGGGGCUGAGACAAGGCCCAGACUCCUACGGGAGGCAGCAGUGGGGAAUUUUGGACAAUGGGGGCAACCCUGAUCCAGCCAUUCCGCGUGAGUGAAGAAGGCCUUCGGGUUGUAAAGCUCUUUCGGCAGGAACGAAACGGCGAGCUCUAACAUAGCUCGCUAAUGACGGUACCUGAAGAAGAGGCACCGGCUAACUACGUGCCAGCAGCCGCCGUAAGAC
rnacentral:rRNA from 1 species